rnacentral:rRNA from 1 species
UAGGGAAUCUUCGGCAAUGGGGGGAACCCUGACCGAGCAACGCCGCGUGAGUGAAGAAGGUUUUCGGAUCGUAAAGCUCUGUUGUUAAGGAAGAACGAGUGUGAGAAUGGAAAGUUCAUGCUGUGACGGUACUUAACCAGAAAGGGACGGCUAACUACGUGCCAGCAGCCGCGGUAAUACGUAGGUCCCGAGCGUUGUCCGGAUUUAUUGGGCGUAAAGCGAGCGCAGGCGGUUAGAAAAGUCUGAAGUGAAAGGCAGUGGCUCAACCAUUGUAGGCUUUGGAAACUGUUUAACUAGAGUGCAGAAGGGGAGAGUGGAAUUCCAUGUGUAGCGGUGAAAUGCGUGGAUAUAUGGAGGAACACCGGUGGCGAAAGCGGCUCUCUGGUCUGUAACUGACGCUGAGGCUCGAAAGCGUGGGGAGCGAACAGG